rnacentral:rRNA from 1 species
GAUGAACGCUGGCGGCGUGCCUAACACAUGCAAGUCGAGCGAUUCUYUUYGGAGAAGAGCGGCGGACGGGUGAGUAACGCGUGGGUAACCUACCCUGUACACACGGAUAACAUACCGAAAGGUAUGCUAAUACGGGAUGAUAUAUAGAAAUCGCAUGAUUUUUAUAUCAAAGAUUUAUCGGUACAGGAUGGACCCGCGUMUGAUUAGCUUGUUGGCGGGGUAMCGGCCCACCAAGGCGACGAUCAGUAGCCGACCUGAGAGGGUAAUCGGCCACAUUGGAACUGAGAUACGGUCCAAACUCCUACGGGAGGCAGCAGUGGGGAAUAUUGCACAAUGGGCGCAAGCCKGAUGCAGCAACGCCGCGUGAGCGAUGAAGGUCUUCGGGUMGUAAAKCUYUGUCCUCAAGGAAGAUAA